GACGAACGCUGGCGGCGUGCCUAAUACAUGCAAGUCGAGCGAAUGGAUUAAGAGCUUGCUCUUAUGAAGUUAGCGGCGGACGGGUGAGUAACACGUGGGUAACCUGCCCAUAAGACUGGGAUAACUCCGGGAAACCAGGGCUAAUACCGGAUAACAUUUUGAACCGCAUGGUUCGAAAUUGAAAGGCGGCUUCGGCUGUCACUUAUGGAUGGACCCGCGUCGCAUUAGCUAGUUGGUGAGGUAACGGCUCACCAAGGCAACGAUGCGUAGCCGACCUGAGAGGGUGAUCGGCCACACUGGGACUGAGACACGGCCCAGACUCCUACGGGAGGCAGCAGUAGGGAAUCUUCCGCAAUGGACGAAAGUCUGACGGAGCAACGCCGCGUGAGUGAUGAAGGCUUUCGGGUCGUAAAACUCUGUUGUUAGGGAGGAACAAGUGCUAGUUGAAUAAGCUGGCACCUUGACGGUACCUAACCAGAAAGCCACGGCUAACUACGUGCCAGCCGCCGCGGUAA
rnacentral:rRNA from 1 species